rnacentral:lncRNA from 1 species
UUUUUUCAAACUAAAAAAGGAAAAAUAAUUAAAAAUUUUAUAAAUACGUUUUAAUUUUAUUGUUAACGAUUUUAUUUCACUAAUAAGUCCAUUAGCGACGGUAAAAACUGAACGGUCUUUGGUCGGUCCCCUCUGCUCAGAGAAGUCCCUCCCUGGAAGCAAUGGCGACGCCAGAAGAAGAGAAGCUGGAACGAUUCCUCCAGUGGCUUCAGGUUCUAUCUAAAUUCUUCAUGUUUCUUUCCGGAGAAAACUCUGAGACAUCAUUAAUGAAAAAACAUUUGCUCUUGUUUUUCUUUCCCCUCUUUUCUGCUCCUGCAAUAGAAAAUCCCCAACUCGAAUAUUCAGUCGAUCAGAAAUGAGUUUAGCAGAGCUUUCGUUUGAUUAUUAUUUUUGCUUUUGUAUUGUUUAUUCUAAUAUAUUAUUAUUGAUUCAAUUAAAUGAGAUUUGAAAUCAGGUUAAUGGAGUUGAAUUACGUGGUUGCAAUAUCAACUACUGCAACUCCAACAAAGGGUUCGGUAUCUUUUCUUCUAAUGGUGCUUCGGAUGGUAACGGGAACUCUUUACUUUUUCAUUCCUUAGGCAAAGAUACAUGCGCUAAAAGAUAAUGUGUAAACACCCUAUUCGAUUGUGAAGAAAUGAAAAUAAGUUUUCGGAAUGUUUGAUAGAUUUCGUUUGUUAAGAUCAGAAGAAGUCUAAAUUUGGCGCGAACCUCAUGUGACUGUAUAGCUAUAAAAUUUGUACCAAACAAAUGUUGCGAAUUUUAUCUGCAGCCCUCUUGCUUAGCAUUGGAACCUUAAAUUACUUUUCUCGGUGUUGCUAGCUAAAUCCUUUUUAAUUAUUUGAUCACAGUAAAGAUUACUUUUCUCUUGCCUAUCUUUAUUCUUAUGUUUCUCAUGUAAACUUCCUCUAUUUCUAAACUAAUCACUGGACAAAUUAGUUUAAACGGCUACUUUUCCUAUAUCAGUUGGUAUUGUAGCUUAACUCCUAUCCUUUGCCUCUUUAAAAUGCAUAAAAAAGAACUCCAAAAUUUCUCACUAUAUCCAGCCAAAGAAAAAGUUAAAUCAUAAAAAAAAAAAGCUAAAAUGAAUCACACAAAAAAAAGCUGACUGUCUAUGAUGCAUGGUAAAUAGUAGUUAGACUAACUUGUAACUUCUUCCACGAUAGUGUAGGAAUAGAAGAAAUUUAGGUGGGAAACAGAAGAAUCUGGGCGAAAUAGACUAAACGAUAUAGAUUAGGCAAAAAAAAAAACCAGAAGAAGGAAUAUAGAGAAUAAAACCCAACGUAGAGAAUGAAACCCCAAGAAGGAAUUCUUAAUUCAUUAUUGUAUGUUCUGAGUUUUUUAUCUCCAAAAAAAAUGUCCUCUUCAUUGAUUGCUACUAGUCUUUAUAUAGAGAAAAUCUGAGUUUUUUUUUUUCUAUACAGUGUAGAGGCUGGAAUUAAGAUCUGGUACUAACUGAUGGUGGACGAGUAAUGGUUAAACUAGAGAUCAAGGUGAAAAAAUGGACUGAAUGAGACAAGUCAGACAAAACAAUGAAUUGAAGAAUGAAUACAAAGAGAUAAUAGAGAAUUAAUUUUUUUUUUUUUGAAAUAAAAGUAUAAUAUGUAGUACUAAUAUGUUCCAAAUAGUGGCUUAGGACCCUAGAAUAUUUGCUUUUGGGUCAUCUUCCAAUUAUGGUUCAAAUGUUUAGUAACAUAUUUUGUUUGGAGGAUUAAGCUGUAAAUGAUUGUAAUUGAUUUCCACCUUUUUGGUGCUCAUAGCAAUACAUAUUAUACUUUUAUUUUUACAAAAAAAAAAAAAUAUAUGGGCACCAAGGAGGUGCCAACCCAUGUACAAAAUUAUUUACAAGUCAUCAAUUUAUUGAUUAGGUCUCCUAAAUCCUCCAACGAUCUAGGAGUAUGACCAACUAAUAAAAAAAAUAAGAGUUUGGAACCAUCUAUUCUUAAGAAUGUCAAAACCAUUUACAUCUUCAACCUCAUCAAAAGCCCUUUUGUUCCUUUCCUUCCACACCUUCCACAUUGUAGACAACAGUAUUAAGUUAGCUAGUUUACUCCUCCCUCUAAUACCCGUCCAUGCCCAAAUCUCAUAUCUAACCAAUCUAGCCAUCACCCAACUAAUGCCUAACAACUCAUAUACCGUAGCCACAAUUGAUACAUCACUGGACACAACAGCAAAACACGAUUACAACUCCCCUUAGCUCUCUUGCAAAGGUAACAAGCACUGACCAAAGUUUUUCCAUGUUUCCUCAUAUUAUCAAUAGUUAAGGUACAUUCUCUGCUUGCCUCCUACGCAAAAAACGAUACACGAGGAGGCACUUUUGCCUUCCAUAUUUGUUUGUCCGGGAAUCUCAAACCAUUACCAUUGUGUUGGUAAUUACCAGCCUCUAUAUAGAUAUUACUUACAAUUAAUAUGAAAAAUUAUAAAAGAAGAAACAUAAAAUUCUAAUUUGUAUAAUGAUUAGUCUUCCCAAAUAUGAAACUAAAAUAUUAGAAUGCCUAAGUAAAUUGAAAUAAGUUGACUAACUUUAAAAGUACAAAACAACAAAUAAUUAUUUGGAACCUAAAGUAACAAUCGAACUUCUUUAAUUGAAAAUGUGAAGAAAUAUAGGGAGAAGUAGAAUGAAGAGAUAGAGUAGACACAAUAACAAAGAGGAGGACAAACAUAGUGAAAGAUAAUAGGAAAUAAAAUCCUAACAAAAGAAUUCUCGAUUAAUAAUUGUCUAUCCUCUCUGUUGUUAGCUAGUAGCCUUUAUAUAAGCAUUAAUUACAACUAAUAUAGAAUUCUAGAAAAGAAAAUUUAAAAUGCUUUAAUAGUUUUUUUUGAGAUCUAAUUCCUAUAAUACUUAGUCUACCUAAAUAGAAAAUAAAAUAUUAUAGUGUCUUGCCCAUCUAUAUUCUUGUGUUUCUCACCUAAUCUCCUCUAUUUCUAAAUUAUCUAUUAGAUAAGUGAGUUUAACUGCUACUCGUCUUGCUCAUUUGAAAUGGCAAUAGGUCUUUGUUCUUUCAGAGCAACAACCUGAAAAUUUUGAUUUUUGGUGUAGAUUGGAAUUAUCAUGGUUUUUUGCCUCUUUGAAUGUAAGUUUAUAGAAACCCCAUUAUUUGACAUUACA